CUUGCUCUUUUAACCGGGAAAGAGCGGUUCAAGUCUUUGCAUAGAAUAAGUUCUCUUGGAACUACUUUUUUCGUCUCCCACGAACACACUAGAUUCUCAAGAUGACUGAUUGGUCCGCCGACCCAGAGUUCCAGUAUCUGGCCGUAGACCGGAAGAAGCUUAUGAGAGAGCAGACCCAGCCUUUUGAUGGCAAAAAGUCCUGCUGGGUCCCGUGCCCGAAGGAGGGGUUCGUCCGCGCUGAGAUCCAGUCCACUAAAGGUGAAGAGGUCACCGUCAAGGUUGACUCUAACAAUGACAUCAAGACGUUCAAGAAGGACGAUGUGCAGCAGGUGAAUCCGCCCAAGUUCGAGAUGACGGACGACAUGGCCAACAUGACCUACCUGAACGAAGCUUCCGUCCUUAAUAACCUCAGGACCAGAUACUUCUCGGGAUACAUCUAUACGUAUUCUGGCCUGUUUUGUGUGGCGGUGAACCCGUACCGCCGGCUGCCAAUCUAUCUUGACUCCAUCAUUGCCAAGUACCGCGGAAAGAGGAAGCUGGAGAUGCCGCCCCAUCUCUUCUCCGUUGCCGACAACGCCUACCAGUACAUGUUGCAGGAUCGUGAAAACCAGUCCAUGCUGAUCACCGGCGAAAGCGGUGCUGGAAAAACAGAGAGCACGAAGAAAGUGAUUAAAUAUUUUGCCAUUGUGGCGGCUAACAUCUACAAAAAACACCAAGGGGAAAACCCACCAUCUAUUGACUCUAAAAUCCAGGACACCCCGUACGCUCGCAAUCUAGAGGACCAAAUUAUCCAAGCCAACCCGGUUUUGGAAGCCUUCGGGAACGCAAAGACAAUCCGAAAUAACAACUCAUCCAGAUUCGGUAAAUUCAUCCGGAUCCACUUCGGACCCACGGGAAAGAUCGCCGGAGCUGACAUCGAGACAUAUCUACUGGAGAAAUCUCGCGUCACGUUCCAGCAAUCGGCGGAGAGAAACUACCACAUUUUCUACCAGAUGCUCUCACCCGCAUGUCCCAAGUACCACGAGACGUGCCUCGUGAGCCCCGACCCGGGUCUCUACAAUUUCAUCAACCAGGGCGUGCUUACCGUCGACGGAAUCGACGACGUCGAGGAAAUGAAGCUCACCGACGAAGCCUUUGACGUCCUGGGCUUCACGAACGAGGAGAAGACGAGCAUGUUCAAGUGCACUUCGGCCAUCAUCCACUUCGGAGAGAUGAAGUUUAAGCAGAGGCCCAGGGAGGAGCAGGCUGAGCCCGAUGGAACAGCAGAGGCUGAGAAGGUCGCCUUCCUGCUGGGCGUGAACGCAGGUGACCUCCUUAAGGGAUUUUUGAAGCCGAAGAUCAAGGUUGGCAACGAGUACGUCACCCAGGGCCGUAACAAGGACCAGGUCGUAUACUCCGUCAGCGCCCUUGCCAAGUCCCUGUACGACCGUAUGUUCGGCUGGCUGGUCAGGAGAAUCAACAAGACUCUCGACACUAAGGCCAAGAGAAACUACUUCAUUGGUGUGUUGGACAUCGCCGGUUUCGAAAUCUUUGACUUCAACAGUUUUGAGCAGUUGUGCAUCAAUUACACCAAUGAGCGCCUGCAGCAGUUCUUCAACCACCACAUGUUCAUUCUGGAACAGGAGGAGUACAAGAAGGAAGGCAUCCAGUGGGAGUUCAUCGACUUCGGCAUGGAUCUCCAGGCCUGUAUCGACCUCAUCGAGAAGCCUAUGGGUAUCCUGUCCAUCCUAGAGGAGGAGUGCAUGUUCCCGAAGGCUUCGGACAAGACGUUCCUGGAGAAGAUGUACAACAACCAUCUGGGCAAGUCCCCCAACUUCCAGAAACCAGUCAGGAGCAGGAAGGGUGGCGCAGAUGCCCACUUUGAGCUCUGCCACUACGCAGGAGCUGUGCCGUACAACACCAGCGGGUGGCUGGACAAGAACAAGGAUCCCCUGAACGAGACGGUGGUCGCUCUCCUCGAGCAGUCCAAGGAGGCCCUUGUCCAGACACUCUUCCACACUCAAGCAGUGGAUCCAGACGCUGCCCAUAAAAAGAAGAAAUCCUCGGCUUUCCAAACGAUUUCCGCUACGCAUAAAGAGUCCCUGAACAAACUCAUGAAGAACCUGUAUACCACUCAUCCCCACUUUGUACGUUGUAUUAUCCCCAACGAGACAAAGACGCCAGGAGUGAUUGACGCACCCCUGGUGUUGAACCAGCUCCAAUGUAACGGUGUGCUGGAGGGUAUCCGUAUCUGCAGGAAGGGAUUCCCCAACAGGAUCAUCUACUCUGAGUUCAAACAGAGAUACUCAAUCCUUGCCCCUAACGCGAUCCCCCAAGGGUUCGUGGACGGGAAGGUAGUGACUGAGAAGAUCCUGACGGCCCUCCAAAUGGACCCUAACGAGUACCGGCUCGGCUCCACCAAAGUCUUCUUCAAGGCCGGUGUGCUCGGUAUGCUUGAGGACAUGAGGGACGAGCGCCUCUCCAAGAUCAUCUCCCUCUUCCAGGCGCACAUCCGGGGCUACCUGAUGCGCAGACAGUACAAAAAACUCCAGGACCAGAGAAUCGGUCUGUCGGUGAUCCAGAGGAACAUCCGAAAAUGGUUGGUGCUAAGGAACUGGCAGUGGUGGAAACUGUACACAAAGGUGAAGCCUCUGCUGAACAUCGCCCGCGCCGAGGAUGAUAUGAAGAAGAAGGAAGAAGAACUUGAGAAAACCAAGGCUGAGCUUGCCAAGGUGGAGAAGAUCAAAAAAGAGUUGGAGGAACAGAAUGUGACAUUGCUGCAACAGAAGAACGACAUGUACCUUCAGCUGCAGGCGGAGCAGGACACGCUGAUUGACGCCGAAGAGAAGAUUGAAAGACUUAUCAAACAGAAGGCUGACUUUGAAUCGCAGAUGAAGGAGUUGGAGGAGAGACUUCUGGAUGAGGAGGAUGCUGCUGCUGAGCUGGAAGCACUCAAGAAAAAGAUGGAGAGUGAGAACUCUGAUCUUAAGAAAGAUCUUGAGGACUUAGAGACCUCUCUGGCCAAGGCAGAAUCAGAAAAGAGCACGAAGGACAACCAGAUCCGGACUCUGCAAGAUGAGAUGGCACAGCAGGAUGAGCAGAUCUCAAAGCUGAACAAGGACAAGAAGAACAUGGACGAGAACCUGAGGAAGACUCAGGAAUCCCUGCAGGCCGAGGAGGACAAGGUCAACCACCUCACCAAACUCAAGGGCAAGCUCGAAGCUACUCUCGACGAGCUUGAGGACAACCUUGAGCGCGAGAAGAAGGUCCGGGCUGACGUUGAGAAAGCGAGAAAGAAGGUAGAGCAGGAACUCAAGCAGACACAAGAGACCGUCGAGGACCUAGAGCGGGUCAAAAGGGAUCUCGAGGAAAACGUCCGCAGGAAGGACGUCGAGAUGAAGAACCUGCACUCUAAGCUGGAGGACGAGCAGAGUCUGGUCGCCCAGCUGCAGAGAAAGAUCAAAGAACUACUGGCCCGUAUCGAGGAGCUCGAGGAGGAACUAGAAGCCGAGAGGGCCGCCAGGGCUAAGGUUGAGAAGCAGAGGGCUGAGCUGAACCGUGAGCUCGAGGAGCUCAGCGAGCGUCUGGAUGAGGCCGGAGGCGCCACAACCGCUCAGAUGGAGCUUAACAAGAAGCGCGAACAGGAGCUCCUCAAGCUCCGCCGCGACCUUGAAGAAACGAGUCUGGCUCACGAGGCGCAGAUUUCCGCCCUGAGGAAAAAGGCCCAGGACGCUUCCAACGAGAUGGCGGACCAGGUCGACCAGCUCCAAAAGAUCAAAACUAGGGUGGAGAAGGAGAAGCAGCAGCUCAAGGGCGAGAUUGACGAUCUGCACGCGCAGGUCGAGCACGCCGGCAAAAACAGGGGUAUGUCAGAGAAGAUGUCAAAGCAGGUUGAGGCCCAGAUCGCCGAACUAACCUCACGUCUGGAGGAGAGUGCGCGUACCAUCCAGGAGCUGCAGAGCUCAAAGGCGCGCCUGCAGAAUGAGAACGGCGAGCAGAUGCGGCAGCUGGAGGAAGCGGAGAGCAAGGUAUCCCAGCUCACCAAGGAACGACAGAACCUCCUCUCACAGCUCGAGGACGCCAAGAGGGCACUCGAGGAUGAAUCCAGGGCCCGCCAGAAGCUGCAGAGCGAGAUCCGCAACCUACAGGCGGACAUCGACAGCCUCAGGGAGCAGUUGGAAGAAGAACAGGAGUCCAAGUCAGACGUGCUCCGCCAGCUGUCACGUGCCAACGCCGAGGCACAACAAUGGCGCGCCAAGUACGAAGGCGAGGGCAUGGCGCGUGCCGAGGAGCUCGAAGAUGCCAAGAGGAAGCUCCAGGCCAAACUGCAGGAGGCUGAACAGUCGGCUGAGGCCGCCAACGGCAAGGUCAGUCAGCUAGAGAAGACUAAAUCCAGACUGCAAGGCGAGCUGGAAGACCUCAUGGUGGACGUUGAACGCUCUAACGCUAACGCCAACAAUCUGGAGAAGAAGCAGAGGAACUUCGACAAGACGAUCGCGGAAUGGGAGGCAAAGGUGAGGGACCUGCAGAGUGAACUGGAGAACGCACAGAAGGAGGCCCGCAGCUACUCGGCGGAGCUAUAUCGCACCAAAGCCGCCCAGGAGGAGUCCAAUGACACAAUUGAAUCCCUGAAGCGCGAAAACAAGAACCUAGCUGAUGAGAUCCAUGAACUUGCCGACCAACUCACGGAGGGCGGCCGAAGUGUACAUGAGGUUGAGAAAAUCCGCCGUCGCUUGGAGAUGGAAAAGGAGGAACUGCAGGCCGCCCUCGAGGAGGCUGAAUCAGCCCUUGAGCAGGAGGAGGCUAAAGUCGCCCGCUCCCAGCUCGAGAUCGCCGUUAUCAGACAGGAAAUAGACAGAAGGAUCGCUGAGAAGGAAGAGGAGUUUGAUAACACGCGCCGUAACCACCAGAGGGCCCUCGACUCCAUGAACGCUAGUUUAGAGGCUGAGGCCAAGGGCAAGGCAGAAGCGCUCAGGAUCCGCAAGAAGCUUGAGCAGGACAUAAAUGAGCUCGAGGUUGCUCUUGACGCAGCGAACCGCAUCCGCGCCGACAUGGAAAAGGCUAACAAACGAAUGCAAGAGCAAUGCAGGGAGAUGCAGACAGCCAUUGAGGACGAACAGCGAAACACCAGCGAGGCCCGUGAGGCGUACGGCAUGGCCGAGCGUCGGGUUGCUGUCGUGCAGGGAGAAUGCGAGGAGCUUCGGUCCGCACUCGAAUCCGCGGAGAGAUCUCGCAAGGCUGCUGAGAAUGAACUUAUUGACACUAACGACCGUGUCAACGAACUUUCCGCCCAGGUUCAGGCCUUGGGUAGUCAGAAGAGGAAGUUAGAGGGUGACAUCGGCGCAAUGCAGGGAGACCUGGAGGAGAUGGGCAACGAGGUGAGAGGCGCCGAUGACAGAGCCAAGAAGGCAAUUGCGGACGCCGCGCGCCUGGCGGACGAGCUGCGCGCUGAGCAGGACCAUGGCCAGCAGGUGGAGAAGAUGCGAAAGGCCCUGGAAGCCCAGAUCAAGGACCUCACCGUCCGCCUGGACGAGGCUGAGUCACAGGCACUCAAGGGUGGCAAGAAGAUGAUCGCCAAACUCGAACAGAGGGUGCGUGAACUAGAGUCCGAGUACGACAACGAACAGAGACGCCACGCUGAAACACAGAAGAACAUGCGCAAGGCCGACCGUCGCAUGAAGGAACUCGCCUUCCAGGCGGACGAGGACCGGAAGAACCAGGAACGUCUCCAGGAACUCAUCGACAAACUCCAGAACAAAAUCAAGACGUACAAGCGCCAAGUCGAAGAAGCGGAGGAGGUUGCGGCCAUUAAUCUGGCCAAGUACCGGAAGGUGCAGAACGAGUUGGAGGACGCCGAGGAGCGCGCGGACAGCGCCGAGAACGCUCUUCAGAAACUGCGCGUGAAAAACCGCAGCUCUAUCUCCGUCUCACGCACCAGCGCCUCGCCCGCGGGACCCGCGGCGGCACCCGCCACGCCUUUAGCGGCGGCCAUGGCUAAAGCCGAGAGGUUGCGACGUGACAGAGAAUCCUCCAUGAACUAAACCACCUCCGUCUUAUCCCGUGUAUCAUAUCAGAUUUAUAUAGGUACACUAGCAGAUGGCUGGCGCUAGUCACUGUCUGGCUGGAACCCUUUCACCAUACUACCGCAGUUCUGUUAGUAGAGCCUCGCAGCUGAACUCUUCUUAUCGCUCGUCCAUUGGGGGUGAUGAUGACGACUUUUAAAUUCGUCAGCGAUUGUAUACUGUGCUGUUCGAUGACGACGUCUUUUAUAUUCGAUAAUAGUAUAGACUGUGUUAUUGUAAUAACGGAGAAUGUUUGAAUGCUUUGAUGUUUUUGCUAGAUACUUUAAGCUGCCAUAGCAUAAGGAAAUAGUGUGCACAUUCUCUUGUAUCCAUAAAGAUUUGCGGCAAUAUUAUUUAUUAAAUAUUUCAUGACAUGAGACAAAUCAAAAGUGUGACGUGUUCGGUGCCUUUUGUCGCUACGCUAUUGGCUGAAUAACCAAGACAACACAACCCGGUAAAAUUAUCAUAUAUAAGGUGUUGGAAAUGCUGCCUUUCUGAUUUGAUCUUAUGUGGAGAGUGGAUGAUCUUUAAAUGUGUUGUUGUUUUAGGAGAUAUCUCUUUCUGAAAUAUAUUUAUUUGCAAAUCUAUUGUAACUUAUCAUGUAUGUAUAUAUGUUUACAUACACAAGAUAUCGUUUGUUUAAAAGGCUUCAAAUUGGCCACAGGAUGCCCCUGGUGACUGUUUUCCCCGGAACAUUCACCAGGGGAGUAUAAUGACCCCUCAGUGGACGACAUCUUAGCUGUUUCUGGUGUGAUGCGUGUGACACUAUAUUUAUAUUGUAGUUCAGCAUGCAUGUCUUUGGUUCUGUUCUGAAUAAAUUAUUACAAGUUUACUCCAAUAAAUUCAUUGAGAUUGUAA